CACUUCUCAACAAUCCAGUGGUCGGCGUUCUCGCCAUCAAACGUCCUCGGGCUGCACCUCCUGAACUCACUGAGGCGCUCCAUGAGCCGAUCCCGCUCGGCUUCCUCGGCCAUCACGGGGAAUGCCGCCCCUGUCGCCGGUCUCUGGAUUGGUAGUGCCGCAACCACCUCCUCCCGAGGUGCAGUCGCCGGUGCCGCACGUGAAGAACUGGGCGCGGGGGACUGCGCCCUCGGUGCGACGUCCACCACGGGUGCUGGCGGUGUGGGACCCUGGGUCUCCCUCGAAGCUGCUGCCUGCUGAAGUAGGAGGUCCUCAAGAUGCUUCAUCCGCGCCUCCUGCCGCUGAGCCACCUCAGCCUAUCGCUGCGCCGCUACCGUCUGCUUCGCCAACAGAUCAGUGAGAACCGCAAGCUGGGCCCUCAAGUCACGGACCUCACUAGAUCCGGAAGUAGUGGAGGUCUCGACCUCCUCGGGAUGUGCCGCAUUAUCUGCUCCGGCAGACUGGGAGCGUGUAACCGGCAUCGACACUACAAAACAUAAAUGCGCAAGUUAGCAACCCACGCUAUCGCAUCCCCGCUCAAGAAGAUAAAACCCGAAAUCAUGCGAAAGUAAGGAAGUGUCCUUCACUACUAACUCUCGAUGUUACGUUGUCGGCCGCCAACGUAACCCUCCGCGAAGUUAGAAGCCAUACACUCCGAUCAAACUCUAACUUUUUAGAGUUAUCACAAAACCCAAUCAUAAUACUUUCGCUCACAAGUCAAUUAGACCACGUCUCUCACGAGCCUAAUUCCUAUAGUCCAACCGGCCUAAGGUUUGCUAGAUCCCCUAAGACUCAACCCUAGUCUCUGAUACCAAAUUAAUCUGUCACGCCCCGGGACCGGCGGAGGCCCUCCCGGUAGCGUGCCCAGACCCGCCAUAUGUCUACACAUAUAAGGCGUCUACGAUAAAAGCGGAAGUAAAGCAAGAGAUAGAGUAAAUAGAAUGAGUAGUAACUAAUGAUAUCAGAGCCAGUAAAGUUCUAUCAUCUAGACCAGAGUAAAAGAAACAUAUCUAAACAAUAAAAGCAACCAUAAGUAGUACACUAUCUAUCUCAAAAGUACAAAAAUGGUGGUCUCUAGUACACUGGUAAGACUCUCAACCUCCCAUAAAAUAAAGCAACGAGAGGUGGACCACCUAUCGAGUCGUCCUCGAAGGAAGCUAGCUCGAAGCAACUCCCUUCCCGCGAUCCCUAGCCUCUCCCGGCGUGGAAGGCUCUGAAAGAAAAUAUAAAACAGAGGGCGUGAGAACUAUAAUUUUAUAGUUCCCAGUGGGCAAUUACUGACCUCAGCUCAAUGCACCACUAGGCCCAAAAGAAAAGGGUAAGUAACGACAAUAAUAAUAAGCAAUAAUAAGCUAGUACAAGAACUACUGAAAGAAAGCAUAUAUGAAAUGCUAUAUUACUAUAUCUCAAAUAAGCAUGAUGUCGUGGUGAUGUACAUCUACGCUAUCAUAAGAAUAAUAUAUCCAAUGCAUACUAAUGUGCCUCAACAUAAUUAAACAAGUAAACCUCACGAUGCAAUAUGUCAAUGCAUAAGGAGCAAGCUCUAGCGAAGUAACCCAGUAUACUAUGAUGCAACGAAUGAAACAGGCAAGUAUACUAUGUAUCCCAAUGCUAUGUCAUGAGCUCGUCAAGUAAUCCAACUACUAAGCCUAUCUAGUAGUGAUCAUUCAUUCUCAACUCUGUGUCGAUUUUCAUUUUCAAUUAAGGACCUACCAAAGAUAGUCCAGCAUGUGCCGCCUAAGUGCCUGUGGUAGCCCAACAUCCCUACUCUUGGAAUGUGUCUGUCCCACUCGACCCCGUAGGCUUCUCAAUGCCGCACGAGCGAACAUAAAUCGCGUAGGCUGACUCCGUAGUGCCGGCUUGUAGGGAGCGACCUUCACAAGUAUGUGCGAAUGAGCACAAAUGGCAAGCAAGCAUAGUCCAAGUCUCAAGUAUCCAAUCCUCAUGUCUCUAACAUGGUAUCGUCACUAGCAUCCCGAAGAUCUAGUUUAAGUCACAAAGCGAAGUUCCAAACACUCACUACGCCUAGUGCCUCUUGAUGACACUUAGGCAAUUUGAUGUUCAACAUUAGCCAAGUCCCGCAAUGGCUCUAACCACCAGGUUCACACAUGUCCCGAGCUCGAUGCCGCUUGAUGACAUUAGCUCUCUAAUUCGCACACAUUCUAGUUCAAUACCUCUAUAUGGCAAUCUUGUCAUCUUUCAUGUCAUAAUUAAAUCAAAGUUUAAAUGCAUGAAUCAAGGCUCAUUUACGCUAUGGAAGUAUGGGACCAAGUUUCGUAUAAAAUGCCAAAUGCAAACCAAAGCUCUCUCAAGCAACUCUCUACUACAUAGAGGUCCAAAAUUUUACUAUAUGCAAUAUAGGCAUUUUAAGCAUUCAUAUUUCACAAUAAAUACGUAUAACAAGAAUAUGCAUGCUUUUUCAAUUAACGAUACUUAAUUUAUCACAAAUGAGAAUUUCUCAUUGUGUGGCUAGGUCAAACCCACCGAACCGUCGCGUNAUGGCAAUCUUGUCAUCUUUCAUGUCAUAAUUAAAUCAAAGUUUAAAUGCAUGAAUCAAGGCUCAUUUACGCUAUGGAAGUAUGGGACCAAGUUUCGUAUAGAAUGCCAAAUGCAAACCAAAGCUCUCUCAAGCAACUCUCUACUACAUAGAGGUCCAAAAUUUUACUAUAUGCAAUAUAGGCAUUUUAAGCAUUCUAAAUUUCACAAUAAAUACGUAUAGCAAAAAUAUGCAUGCUUUUUCAAUUAACGAUACUUAAUUCAUCACAAAUGAGAUUUUCUCAUUGUGUGGCUAGGUCAAACCCACCGAACCGUCGCGUAGUGCCUCGUUUCGCCGAACGAAGUUGUCCACGAGUCUUAAAAUACCCUAAAAGUAUUGAGCGAAGAGAUACGCGGGCAUUACGAUCAACUAUAAGAUCAAAUAUUAACCAAUAAGACAAAAGAGCUAAAACUCACCUCAAGAGAAGAAAUCUCUUCCAAAGCUCUAAAAGAUAGCUAGAACCCUUCCAAUCCAAGCCCAAGGAAGGUUCUAAACCAACUAAUUUAGCCCCAAAAGCCCUAGAUCAAAAAUGCCCAAAACAAACCCUAAGUCUCCAUUCUAGGGUUCCAAAGGUAAAACUUACCAAAUCAAGGAUCAAAGGGUAGAAUCCGAGUACUAACCUCCCAAGGUGCCUCCAAACUAGCUCCAAAUCUUCUAGGGUUGAAGAUUGGUCCACCACCAAGCUCUACAAGCAAGCUCCAAGCCUUGCAAGGGUGGAAUGGUGAGGAAGGGGUUGAGCUCCAAGCUCCCUCAAGCAAGCUCCUCUUCUUCUUCUCCUCAUUCUUCUCUCUCUAGCAAAGGUGUGGAGGGAGUGUGGGGAGAGAAAUGAGGAUGAGAGAGGAUGGGAGGGCUAUUUAGGCCAUCCAAAGUAACAAAAUCCCAGGAGGUCCCCCAAAAAACCAAAAUUACAACAGCCCGGUCUAGGCAAUUUUCGCCCAGAGGGACCGGUCUCUCCUCAGCAGGGAUCGGUCUCUCGCUGCGAACCCGAAAAACCAUCGUUCGGGAACCGGUCUCUCCCCGCGCGGGACCGGUCUCUCAUGCGAAGACGCGCUCGGGGACCGGUCUCGCCUGCCAGGGACCGGUUGCCUCAGGGCUGCCACAACACUGCUCACUGGGGGACCAGUCUCUCCUUCCAAGGACCGGUCCCUGAGAGUAAAAACUCUCAGGACUUGUCCAGAAUUCCAGUUUUCGAACUUCUUAGGUCGGAAAACAUUCUACGACCCCCCACCAAGUGUGGAAAAGCUCGAAACACAUCCAAUCACUCAAACCUCGCAAUUCGCAACGGCCCAGUGUGUUACAUCUCAAGUAGGAAUAGCUUUAAAUGCAUAAAGGUAGUGCUCAUUUUCACAAUAGGAAUUAUGAUUCCAAGUCUCAAUAGGAUGCCAAUCAUGUAUAAGUUCCACAUGCUAGUUCUCUACUACAUAGAGGUCCGAAAAUUCAUCACACAUAACAUAAGCAUGUUAAGCAUCCCGAAAUUCACAAUAAUUACAUUUAUCAUGGAAAUGCAUGAAUUUUUACUCUACUAAGCAUAGAACAUAGGAUAUGAGAAUUUCUCAUAUGCUAGGCUAGGUCAAACCCACUAAACCGUCUCGAAAUCCUUCGUAAGCUCAAACGAAGUUGUCCACAAGUCUUCUAGCACCCUAGAAGCAUCAAAAAGUGAGCUACAAGAAGUAAACGAACAACUACUAGCUCAAUCAUUAACCUACCAAGCAAAAGGGCCAAAAUCUCACCUAUAGAGUAAAAUCUCUUCUCAAGCUUCAAAAGAAAGCUAGAACCCUUCCAAUGAAGUCUAGUGAAAGGUUAUAAUCCAAGAGAUUGAGCUCCAAAAGCCCUAAGUCAAAAAGCCCCAAAAUCAACCCUAAAAUCCAAAUCUAGGAUUUCAUCUCCCAAAAUCUACGAAAAAUAGGUCUAGAGGGGAGAAAUAAGCAACUAACCUCAAGAGGAGAUCUAAACCAAGCUCAAAAUGCUUAAGGGUUGAAGAUUAAUCUACCACAAGGCUCCAAAUCUAAGCUCCAAACCUCCAAAAGUGAGAAAUGAGAAAGAGGAAGAUGCUCCAAAGCUCUCUCAAGCUUGCUCUCCAAUUUCUCCUUCUUCUUCUCCUUCUUCUUCUCUCUCUAACAAGGGUGUGGGGAGGGUUGAGAGACUAGAAAUGAGGAAGGGAAAGGGUGGAAUGGCUAUUUAGGCCAUCUAAAAUAACAAAAUCCAAAGAAGCCCCUCAAAUUCCCAAUAUUGCAUCAGCCCGGACUAGGCAGCUUUCGGACUGAGGGACCGGUCUCCCCGACUUGGGACCGGUCUCUCGGUCUGCCCCCCAAAAUCCAACGCUCGGGAACCGGUCUCUCCCUGCGUGGGACCGGUCUCUUCCCGCGGAGAAGCGCUUGGGGACCGGUCUCAUACGCGAGGGACCGGUUGCAUCAAGGCUGCCGCAAUACUGUUCCGGGGGGGGGACCGGUCUCUCAUAGCCAGGGACCGGUCCCCGAGAGUCAAACUCUCAGGACUAAUCCAUAACUCAGCUUUUCGAACUUUUUAGGUCGGAAAACAUUCUACGACCCUCCACCAAGCGUGGAAAAGUUCAGAACACAUCCAAUCACUCGAACCUCGCAAUUUGCACAGGUCCAGUGUGCUACACACUGUUCGAUUGUUGCAAUCGAUAGUGGCGUAGUAUUUGGUCAACCAAUCCAUGCCCAAAACAACAUCAAACUCUCCGAGUUUAUGCAAAGCUAGCAAGUCCACGGGCAUGACCCAAUCUCCAACCUGAACAGGGCAACUAGGGUAAAACUCUCGAAUAUCCAAAAAGUGAUCGGGUACCACAACUCGUCCCGGAUGCAACAAAGAUGUCAGUGGGAUGCCAUGCAACUCGGCAAACAGCCAGUCUAUGAAUGAAUGCGAUACACCGGUAUCAACUAAUGCUCGUACUCGAAUACCAUAAAAUAAAAUGAUACCUGCGACCACAUUCUCGACUGCUGCCUCCUCCUCAAUCUGGGCCGCGUACAUGCGCUCGCUCGGGGGCUGCCGUGACCCCUCCAACUGCCACUGCACCAGUGGCCGCCCGGCCUGCUGGUAUACAGAAGGUGUCCCAUGGCUGGGACCCGGUGAAGCUGGUGUAGAUGCCGAAGAUGGCGCUGGUGCUAAACCCCUCGGACAGUCCGACUAGAAGUGACCCUCCUGGCCGCACAGGUAGCACCUACCUCGACUGCGGGAACACUGCAGUGGGUAGCGAGGACCACCACAGAUCACAUAGCGUGGUGCCUGGCAACGAUCCGGUGCUCCUCGCUGCGUAGACGAGCCACGUCCUCGCGACUGGCUCCGGCUCCUAGGAUGCCUCGGUGGCCUCCGUGAGUGCGUCUGGCUCGCACCCUCAGCCGCAGGCCUCUUGCCUUUCCCCUUCUCCAAGCCCUCGCGACGCUCCUGAAGGUCUGCCGCUCCAGCCUCCACGAUGAGUGCACGGUUCACAACCUCCUGGUAGGUUUCGAGGUUAGAGAACUGCACCAACCGAAAGAUCGAAGGCCGCAAUCCACGCUCAAAAAUGCUGGCCUUGUCCUCGUCAUCCCGUACUACGAAGGGUGCAUAGUGAAGUAGCCGAGAAAACUCUCUCUCGUACUCGGCCACGGUCCGCUCCUCCUGGGGCAAACUGCGCAAAUCCUGCUCCAUCUUCCUCUUAACGCUAGUAGGGAAGUAGUAUGCAAGUAGGAGCUCCUUGAACCUCUUCCAGGUGAUCGCGGUCAAGUCGGUGCUUCGGUUCUCCUGAAUAUCCAACCACCAAUGGUAGGCCUCGCCGUCCAAAAAGUGUGUGGCGAGCCAAACUCUGUCCCUCUCUUCCACGAAAGUGUCGCGAAAAAGUUUCUCCAUAUGCAGUAACCACUUCUCUACUAUCCAAUGGUCGACUUUUUCUCCAUCGAAGAUCCUGGGGUUACACCUCCUGAACUCGUUGAGGCAAUCCAUGAGCCGAUCCCGCUCGGCUCCCUCGGCCAUCACAGGGAAAGCUGCCCUCGCCGCAGGUAUCAGGACCGGUGGUACUGCAACCACCUCCUCCCGUGGUGCGGUCGCCGGUGCCGCACGCGAAGAACUGGGCGCGGGUGUAACACACUGGACCUGUGCAAAUUGCGAGGUUCGAGUGUUUGAUCUCUGUGUCGAGCUUUUUCAGACUUUCUGGAGGGUCGUAGACAGUGUUCCGACCUAUGGCUCGCAUGGCGAGAAUUGUGGGUUUAAACUUGUACCAAAAUCCCAAAAGGUUGGAUUGUUGGUGUGCUCUCGGGUUAGCCUCAGCUAGGCUGUGUACCGGUACGCCUUGAUGGUUGUACUGGUACAUAAGGGAUUUUCUGCCAACCCGAGGCUCGGGUUGGGCAGUUUCGCAGGAGGUGUACCGGUACAAUUUCCCGUGUACCGGUACACAAUGCAGAUUUUUGGCUGUUUCGUUGAGGGGUGUGUUUUCAAUUGUUGCAACUUCUAUUUAAGCACACCCCAACCCCUUGGGGGCUGUUUUGAGCCCUAGAACAGUGGAGAGCAAGGUAAGAGGAGUUCCCUUUGUUUUCUUCUCCAUUUUUGAUGGAUUUUUGGUGGGUUUUGAUCUAUUUCCUUCUCUCUUUCUUACUUUUUGUAGGUUUUCCACCAUUGGAGAAGCUUGAGAUCUUGGUUGGAGCUUAUUUGGAGAUCAACCUUCAACCCUAGAGAACUUGGAGCUUGGUUUUGAGCAUUUUGUGAGGUUAGUAAACCUAAUCUCCCAUUUGGAUUAAGUUUUGAAGGUUUCUUUUGAAUGAAACCCUAGAUUUCGGAUUCUAGGGCUAGAAUUGGAGAUUCUUGAUUUGUAGCUUCUAGAACCAAAUUGAUUGGUUUAGAACUUUAAUUUAGGUUGGUUUUGAAGGAAUCUAACUCCCUUUUGGAGUUCGUGGGGGAUUCCUUAGCGUUCGGUGAGUUUUCUCCAACCUAGCUAGAGAAGCUUAAUAUUUGAGCUUAGCUUUGUUCGUGAGCCUUGUUUGACACUUGUUUCUACAUCCUUAGGGUACUAGGAGGCUAGUGGACACCUUCGUUCGGCGAAACGAGGAGUUCGACAAAUCGGUGGGUUUGACUUCAUAGAAAUGGGGCGAAAUGGCCUCUAUGCAUUCUAAACUCUUCGUAAAGUAUUUUUAAAUGCAUUUCUAUACUAAUUGGAAUGUAUGUGAAUUUUAGAACACCUAAAAUGCAUGCCUUAUGUGUAAGUUAAAUUUCACUCUAUAUAGUAGAGCAAUCAAGGUUAUUGUCAUGCAUGUGGGGUGGGUUCAUGUGGACGAAUGGGAUUCUCGUCUAGUAUGCUAAUUUAGCUCAUGUUCAUGUAUGGGAAACAUUGUACUAUAUUUGGACUUAUUAGCAAAAAGUGUCAUCAAGAGGCACUUGAAACUAGUAAACUAUGAACUGCAACUUAGAGACAUGAUGAUAGGCUAUUGUACAUCUGCUAUAUUCCAUGUUAGAGACAUGAUGACAUAGAGAUAGGCCAUUGAGAUACUUGAUAUAUUCCAUGUUUUUAGACAUGAGGACUUGGUACUUGAGACAGAUCAUUGCUUGCUUGCCAUUGUGCUCAUUCGCACAUGCUUGUGAGGGUCGCUCCCUACAAGCCGGCACUCCGGAGAUAGCCAUCGCGACACAUGCUCGCCCGUGCGAGAUUGGGCGCCGAAGUGGAUUGCCGUGGGGGAGGCUCAUCCCUAGAGUGGGGAUGUUGACUACCACGGGGCCAUUAGGCACGGCGCAGGCCAGACAGCCUUCGGGUGGGUCUUAUAUGAUUGGGACUUAGUGACAGAACAUGCUAUGUGAACUUUAAAACUAUUAAAGUGGACUUGGACUAGAAUAGUAAACAAUGACAUCUUUACUAUUUUUGCAUUGAGGACAUCGGAUUGGUUGCAUUUCUAUGCUUAUGCAUGUCAUACACAUCCAUGUACAUUCAUGAUAUCGUUGCUUUAUUACUUAUGCAAAUCAUGCUAAGUAGAGACUCUAUGUUAUAGUAAGUUACAUUUUACUUACCUUUCGCUUUACUACAUUGUUAGUCACUGACCUCUUUUCGUAGCUUUUGGGCCUUGUGGCGCAGUUCACUGAAGUCAGUAAUUGCCCACUGGGAACUAUUUUUAAUAGUUCUCACGCCCCUGUUUUCUGGUUUUCUUUUCAGAGCCUUCGGCACCGGCGGAGGCACGGGAUCGCGGCAAGGGGAUCGCAUAGCUAGCUAGCGAGGAGCGGUUCUUUGCCUAGGUGGUUUACUCUUUUUUUUUGUAGCUGAGAGAGAGAGAGAUUUUGUAUCCAUGUAUAGAGACCACCUAUGUAUCUACUUUAGCACUCGUAUUUGGGAUUUCCUUGUAUUACUUUAUGCUUUUAUUAAUGGAUUCCAGCUUUAUGCUCCUUUCUCUAUUGUAGAACUUAGUAUUAUAUCAUGCUCUCAUACUCCUAGUUGUCUUUUAUUGUCGCUUUAUUUAUUAUUGCUUUUAGACGCCUUAUAUGUUUUAGACGUAUGGCGGGUCUGGGCACGCGCCGGGCGGGCUUCCGCUGGGUCCCGGGACGUGACAGCGGGGAAUUGCACCCUCGGCGCGACGUCCACUACAGGUGCUUGCGGUGUGGGGACCUGAGUCUCCCUAGAAGCUGCUGUCUGCUGUAGCAAGAGAUCCUCCAAGUGCUUCAUCCGCGCCUUCUGCUGCUGUGCCACCUCGGCCUGUCGCUGCGCCGCCGCCG
rnacentral:lncRNA from 1 species